rnacentral:rRNA from 1 species
ACUGGGAUAACUCCGGGAAACCGGGGCUAAUACCGGAUGGUUGUCUGAACCGCAUGGUUCAGACAUAAAAGGUGGCUUCGGCUACCACUUACAGAUGGACCCGCGGCGCAUUAGCUAGUUGGUGAGGUAACGGCUCACCAAGGCGACGAUGCGUAGCCGACCUGAGAGGGUGAUCGGCCACACUGGGACUGAGACACGGCCCAGACUCCUACGGGAGGCAGCAGUAGGGAAUCUUCCGCAAUGGACGAAAGUCUGACGGAGCAACGCCGCGUGAGUGAUGAAGGUUUUCGGAUCGUAAAGCUCUGUUGUUAGGGAAGAACAAGUGCCGUUCAAAUAGGGCGGCACCUUUGACGGUACCUAACCAGAAAGCCACGGCUAACUACGUGCCAGCAGCCGCGGUAAUACGUAGGUGGCAAGCGUUGUCCGGAAUUAUUGGGCGUAAAGGGCUCGCAGGCGGUUUCUUAAGUCUGAUGUGAAAGCCCCCGGCUCAACCGGGGAGGGUCAUUGGAAACUGGGGAACUUGAGUGCAGAAGAGGAGAGUGGAAUUCCACGUGUAGCGGUGAAAUGCGUAGAGAUGUGGAGGAACACCAGUGGCGAAGGCGACUCUCUGGUCUGUAACUGACGCUGAGGAGCGAAAGCGUGGGGAGCGAACAGGAUUAGAUACCCUGGUAGUCCACGCCGUAAACGAUGAGUGCUAAGUGUUAGGGGGUUUCCGCCCCUUAGUGCUGCAGCUAACGCAUUAAGCACUCCGCCUGGGGAGUACGGUCGCAAGACUGAAACUCAAAGGAAUUGACGGGGGCCCGCACAAGCGGUGGAGCAUGUGGUUUAAUUCGAAGCAACGCGAAGAACCUUACCAGGUCUUGACAUCCUCUGACAAUCCUAGAGAUAGGACGUCCCCUUCGGGGGCAGAGUGACAGGUGGUGCAUGGUUGUCGUCAGCUCGUGUCGUGAGAUGUUGGGUUAAGUCCCGCAACGAGCGCAACCCUUGAUCUUAGUUGCCAGCAUUCAGUUGGGCACUCUAAGGUGACUGCCGGUGACAAACCGGAGGAAGGUGGGGAUGACGUCAAAUCAUCAUGCCCCUUAUGACCUGGGCUACACACGUGCUACAAUGGACAGAACAAAGGGCAGCGAAACCGCGAGGUUAAGCCAAUCCCACAAAUCUGUU